CACCGCACAAGACGCCCUCACGGCCGCACGGGCACGCCCUCGCCCCUCAGCUUCUGCUCGAUGCUCCUGCAGCCGCACGGGCACGGCGGCUGGCGACCGCACAGCAGAGGGCGUAUGCAGCACGCCCUCUCCCAUCCAGCACCCCGACGGACGACGGGAACCUCGCCGGCUCGUCGAUCCACCGGCCUCGGCGCCUGGCCAGUCCGCAUCUCCGCGACCUCAUCGACAUCGUCAGCCACUCAGCCUCGCCUCCCCCGACCUCGCCCCUACAGGCUCGCUGACCUCCGCACCUCGCCGACGAAUCCAGUAGUGCAAACGCACUUAGGUGGUUUUUGCUUGAAGGAUGGAAAAACAGCAGCACAUUCAUAUCAUUUUUUAGUGUGAAAACUUAUGUUGUAACUGAUUAUGUACUCAUUUGAUAUGUAUGUAUGAAAGUAUGAUUAAUGUGCCCAUUUGUGUAUGUUAUUGUAUUAGUUCUGAAUGGGUCCAGAUUUAAAUAUAUGUGGAUUAUUUUUUUUUACC